rnacentral:rRNA from 1 species
UAGGGAAUAUUGGACAUGGACGAAAGUCUGAUCUAGCCACACCGCGUGUACGGAGAAGGCCUUCGGGUUGUAAAGCACUUUUUGGAAGGAUUAGGAAGGAAUGUACUUCCAGAAUAAGUCUCGGCUAACUCCGUGCCAGCAGCCGCGGUAACACGUAGGAGGCAAACGUUAUCCGGAUUUACUGGGCGUAAAGCGCGUGUAGGUGGUUCUGUAAGUAGGGCGUGAAAGCUCCUGGCUCAACUGGGGGAGGGCGUUCUAAACUGCAGAGCUAGAGGAUGGUAGAGGGAGGUGGAAUUCCGGGUGUAGCGGUGGAAUGCGCAGAUAUCCGGAGGAACACCAGUGGCGAAAGCGGCCUCCUGGACCAUUCCUGACACUCAGACGCGAAAGCUAGGGUAGCAAACG